UACGUAGGGGGCUAGCGUUGUCCGGAUUUAUUGGGCGUAAAGAGCGUGUAGGCGGCCAGGUAGGUCUGGUGUGAAAACUCGAGGCUUAACCUCGAGAUGUCAUCGGAAACCAUCUGGCUAGAGUCCGGAAGAGGAGAGUGGAAUUCCUGGUGUAGCGGUGAAAUGCGCAGAUAUCAGGAAGAACACCAAUGGCGAAAGCAGCUCUCUGGAACGGUACUGACGCUGAGACGCGAAAGCGUGGGGAGCGAACAGG
rnacentral:rRNA from 1 species